rnacentral:rRNA from 1 species
AUACGGAGGGUGCAAGCGUUGUUCGGAAUCACUGGGCGUAAAGGGCGCGCAGGCGGUUUGGUAAGUCAGAUGUGAAAGCCCACGGCUCAACCGUGGAAGUGCAUUUGAAACUGCCAGACUUGAGUACCAGAGGGGAAAGUGGAAUUCCCGGUGUAGAGGUGAAAUUCGUAGAUAUCGGGAGGAAUACCGGUGGCGAAGGCGACUUUCUGGCUAGAUACUGACGCUGAGGCGCGAAAGCGUGGGGAGCAAACAGGAUUAGAAACCCUAGUAGUCC